GUCUCAUUCAGUCCUGUGAAAUGCCUGCUGCAGGGCUUCCAAAGAAAGUACUCUCUAGAAUGAGUGUUUUGCCUUCCUGAGAACCUUACUGUGCUUUAUCAAAUGAUAGUUAGAUUUCAUAUUGUUUUAAAAUAAUUUUAUAAAAAUUUACUGGCUCAAGGGCUGGCAAAUAAGAGGAUUAUGGAAAAUAGGAAAAGAAUUGCUUGUUUCACCUGAUUGCCAUGAAGUUAAAUAAACUGAAGGCAUACUAUGAAGCACCUGGAAUACAGACUCAAGGUUUUCAGCUUGAGCCCAUUAACAAUAAGACCGUGUGAAGGAUCAAAACUUGCUCUGGGGCAGCAGUUUGGAUACAAAUUACCUUAUUUCAGUAAAGAACACAACUAAUGAAAGAUGCAAGGUUAUCUGCAACAGCUUUUUUCUGGGAAAUGCUCUGUCAAUAUCACCUCACAGUGAAGAUCCCAGCAGACUUGUCUUCAAAGAAUGUGUUGUUCUUACAAAGAAGAUUUCAGCACAAAGACAAAAGUGAUCAAGGUAACCCAGCUAAAAGAAUGCACUUCGAUUUACAAUUCAAGACCAGACUCGAUCAUUUUUCCAGCACAGACCUUGAUGCCACUUUUUGGAAGCCUGCUGUGUGAACAUUUCAGAGCCCAGGAGACAGCUGUGAGCACGGAUCCACUGUCACCUAUGGAGUCACCUGCUGAGCUUUAUCCCAAAAUAAAACAUCCUACUAGGGAGCAUCAUCACCGAUGUGUAGGCAGCACUUGCCUGAUUGCUUUUCACUAUUUCUAGUGUUUUGUUAUCAUUUUCAUUUGGGAGAGUGCUUGGAGCAGUUCCGGUGGUACAGGAGGAGGCGCAGGAGCGAGACCAUCCCUCCAGAGUAAUCCCUGCUGCUUGCUGAAUAGAUACCUGAAGGCAACAUCACUUGGCUAUUUCUGGCCUGCAGUAGAUUGCUACUUGCAAACCUUUUUAUGCUGUUAUUCAUCUCCUGAGCCAUCUGGCCCCUGUUGCAGGAUACCUGCAGAUGGAUUAAUAGACCAAUCUAAUAGAGCUGUACAUAUUAAAUAUACAGCAGAAGCAGCUGUUGGGUGUUUGUUGUGAGCUUUCUAUUUUUCCCUGAUGUUUCAGCCACUGUAAUUUAAAGUUCUAAGUCAGUUCUUCAAGGAAAGGAACUGUUUUUACCUCAACUAUCCAAAAACCAAAAUAAAUUUAUCUCUCAUAAAAGAAGCCUGUCA
rnacentral:lncRNA from 1 species